GAAUAGGUUUAAAUACCCUAAAAACAUCAGAUCACCUUUGAUCUUGUGAAGCUAAGCAGGUUUAGCCUUGGUUAGUACUUGGGUGGGAGACCACAAACAGACACCAGGUGCUGUAGGCU
rnacentral:rRNA from 11 species